GUGCUCACUUCGGCAGCACUUUAUACUAAAAUUGGAACAGUACAGAGAAGAUUGGCAUGGCCCCUGCACAAGGAUGACAUGCAGAUUCAUGAAGUGUUUCAUAUUUUU